AUUGAACGCUGGCGGCAGGCUUAACACAUGCAAGUCGAGCGGAGAGAGGCAGCUUGCUACCGAUCUUAGCGGCGGACGGGUGAGUAAUGCUUAGGAAUCUGCCUAUUAGUGGGGGACAACAUUUCGAGAGGAAUGCUAAUACCGCAUACGUCCUACGGGAGAAAGCAGGGGAUCUUCGGACCUUGCGCUAAUAGAUGAGCCUAAGUCGGAUUAGCUAGUUGGUGGGGUAAAGGCCUACCAAGGCGACGAUCUGUAGCGGGUCUGAGAGGAUGAUCAGCCACACUGGGACUGAGACACGGCCCAGACUCCUACGGGAGGUAGCAGUGGGGAAUAUUGGACAAUGGGCGGAAGCCUGAUCCAGCCAUGCCGCGUGUGUGAAGAAGGACUUAUGGUUGUAAAGCACUUUAAGCGAGGAGGAGGCUACUUUAGUUAAUACCUAGAGAUAGUGGACGUUACUCGCAGAAUAAGCACCGGCUAACUCUGUGCCAGCCGCCGCCGUAAAAC
rnacentral:rRNA from 1 species